GGAACAGCUCUGACCUGUACGGUGAUCAGACCUGGAGAGGAGAGACACCUGGUCCAACAAGGUGAUGGACGAGCGGUGAAGACGAACAAGACGAACCUGAAGCAGAAUCUGAAUCUGUCUGUCUUCUGUUGACAGCUCCUUCAGGUCGUGCAGUUGUGUGUUGACGACUGUUUCACCUGCUCACAGACAGUGAGCACUGUUGUCUUUACUGGCUAUUUGCAUAAUAAACCCUUUUUUUUAAUUACA